rnacentral:rRNA from 1 species
GAUGAACGCUGGCGGCGUGCCUAAUACAUGCAAGUCGAGCGAACAGGCGAGGAGCUUGCUCCUCUGACGUUAGCGGCGGACGGGUGAGUAACACGUGGAUAACCUACCUAUAAGACUGGGAUAACUUCGGGAAACCGGAGCUAAUACCGGAUAAUAUAUUGAACCGCAUGGUUCAAUAGUGAAAGACGGUUUUGCUGUCACUUAUAGAUGGAUCCGCGCCGCAUUAGCUAGUUGGUAAGGUAACGGCUUACCAAGGCAACGAUGCGUAGCCGACCUGAGAGGGUGAUCGGCCACACUGGAACUGAGACACGGUCCAGACUCCUACGGGAGGCAGCAGUAGGGAAUCUUCAGCAAUGGGCGAAAGCCUGACGGAGCAACGCCGCGUGAGUGAUGAAGGUCUUCGGAUCGUAAAACUCUGUUAUUAGGGAAGAACAAAUGUGUAAGUAACUAUGCACGUCUUGACGGUACCUAAUCAGAAAGCCACGGCUAACUACGUG